rnacentral:rRNA from 1 species
UACAGAGGGGGCAAGCGUUGUUCGGAAUUAUUGGGCGUAAAGAGCUCGUAGGCGGUUUGUUGCGUCGGCUGUGAAAUCCCGAGGCUCAACCUCGGGUCUGCAGUCGAUACGAGCAAACUAGAGUGUUGGCAGGGAGACUGGAAUUCCUGGGUGAUAGCGGUGAAAUGCGCAGACUAUCAGGAAGAACACCCGUGGCGAAGGCGGCAUCUCUGGAACGCAAACUGGACGCUG